AUCCUAACUGAUCUUGGGAAUGCUGAUUGUGUCGCUGCUUAACCAUUCGCAGGCGCUCCUUUUUUUUAUCCACACAGAACGAUUCAAACCAGCCAUAGAAAAAUCCAUCCAUAAAACAAUCGCUCUUUACGGCCUCAAUUAGCCCCUACUGUUGGAAAGGCCAUCGCUUAGCUAAUAAUCAGAUUUAGCACCCUUUAUUUUUAUUUUCCAGAACGCCUAACCAAGCGCCCCGGAGUGUACAUGUCCUAAUAUGGAUGAGAUAAUUUCUUACCUUCAUAUAUGGUUCUUGCACAUGCUUGUUUACCUCUGCAUAAAGCGUUACUGAUUCAACAUCAUCAUGUUUAAAUCAUAAGUCAAACAUAUUUGAUACCAAGGACGAAAUUAGUCUGAACGACAACUUCAUGAACCUUGUAUAAUGGUAUGACAAUAGGGACACAGUAUAGUGGCACCCCCAGGAGUAUAUAAUACAAUGUGAUUCUACAUCUAAGCGUAGCCAGUUUUUGGAUCAUCAUUUUUUACUUCCGAGCUCUUGUAGUUGACCUGAUCUGUUACAUGCACAUCACCAACUAUGUGGAGUUGUGAUUUGCCUCAGGUAAGAGAAAGGUGCAGAAAGCCUCUUCUGAGAUUAAUCUUACGUCAGUCAUCUACAUGUGAUUGUUCAUUGCAGAACCAGUACUUUGAAAUGGUUCUUAUUUGCAUAUCCUUUAACUUUUCUAAUUCACAUUGCUUGGUUUAUUGCGGAGUGAACAUUUUUCAGUUUGCUGCCCCGCGCACGGACCGAUAUCCUCCUACCCAUUGUCUCCCCAACACUAGGGCAUUCUACAUCUUUAUGUUCUACAUGUCCAAGUUGUCCAAGAGGAACCAGGGUAUUCUAUAUCGCAGGCUGGCUGGACGCUACAAUGGCAAUCACAAGCAGGUUGAAGCCAGCGGAGGAGUGUAUCUGCAUGUGCUUCUCGUGAAUAAAUAGGCUAUACCUAUGAUGCGAUGAAGAGUUAUGGCGUUGCGUUGGCUGCGUACAAACAUACACAAGUUGCUGAUAUGAUUAUGGAAAGACCAAAUUUUAUUCUACUGUCCCUUUCUGACAAUAUUUUUGUUCUACUGUCCUAAAGACAACAAGAAUUACUAAUUCAAGAUUCCCAGAUGCUUUGACUUCGGACUUGCUGCAUAGUUGUUCUGAUGUCUGAAUAAAAAGUAUUUGUAAUGCAUGUUAGAGUUAUAAGUAAAAAAGGUUACGAUCUUUUAUCUGAUUAGGUUUGAAGAUGAAGGACAUGAAAUUUAAGCUGUAGAAAUAUAACUCGAGGUAUUUUUAUCUCCAUGUUCCUCCUAUAAUCUUGAUGUGAUUGAUUUGGUUAUUGGUUUGAGGUCUACAGAGGAUGCAAUUUGUUCAUUCAUGAUCUGGUAGUAUAAGUAAUUUGCACGAGUCGCAUAUUAAUAUCAAUGAUAUAUCUCCUUUGCCCUGAAA